rnacentral:rRNA from 1 species
AUAAUGGGUCAGCGACUUAUAUUCUGUAGCAAGGUUAACCGAAUAGGGGAGCCGAAGGGAAACCGAGUCUUAACUGGGCGUUAAGUUGCAGGGUAUAGACCCGAAACCCGGUGAUCUAGCCAUGGGCAGGUUGAAGGUUGGGUAACACUAACUGGAGGACCGAACCGACUAAUGUUGAAAAAUUAGCGGAUGACUUGUGGCUGGGGGUGAAAGGCCAAUCAAACCGGGAGAUAGCUGGUUCUCCCCGAAAGCUAUUUAGGUAGCGCCUCGUGAAUUCAUCUCCGGGGGUAGAGCACUGUUUCGGCAAGGGGGUCAUCCCGACUUACCAACCCGAUGCAAACUGCGAAUACCGGAGAAUGUUAUCACGGGAGACACACGGCGGGUGCUAACGUCCGUCGUGAAGAGGGAAACAACCCAGACCGCCAGCUAAGGUCCCAAAGUCAUGGUUAAGUGGGAAACGAUGUGGGAAGGCCCAGACAGCCAGGAUGUUGGCUUAGAAGCAGCCAUCAUUUAAAGAAAGCGUAAUAGCUCACUGGUCGAGUCGGCCUGCGCGGAAGAUGUAACGGGGCUAAACCAUGCACCGAAGCUGCGGCAGCGACGCUGAUGCGUUGUUGGGUAGGGGAGCGUUCUGUAAGCCUGUGAAGGUGUGCUGUGAGGCAUGCUGGAGGUAUCAGAAGUGCGAAUGCUGACAUAAGUAACGAUAAAGCGGGUGAAAAGCCCGCUCGCCGGAAGACCAAGGGUUCCUGUCCAACGUUAAUCGGGGCAGGGUGAGUCGACCCCUAAGGCGAGGCCGAAAGG